rnacentral:rRNA from 1 species
UGGGGAAUAUUGCACAAUGGGCGAAAGCCUGAUGCAGCGACGCCGCGUGAGGGAUUACGGCCUUCGUGUUGUAAACCUCUUUCAGUAGGGACGAAGCGCAAGUUACGGUACCUGCAGAAGAAGCACCGGCUAACUACUUGCCAGCAGCAGCGUUAAUACGUAGGGUGCGAGCGUUUUCCGGAAUUACUGGGCGUAAAGAGCUCGUAGGCGGUUUGUCACGUCGUCUGUGAAAUCCUAGGGCUUAACCCAGGACGUGCAGGCGAUACGGGCUGACUUGAGUAGUACAGGGGAGACUGGAAUUUCUGGUGUAGCGGUGGAAUGAACAGAUAUCAGGAAGAACACCGAUGGCGAAGGAAGGUCUCUGGGUAGUAACUGACGUUGAGAAGAGAAAGAAUGGGUAGCGAACAGG